GGGUAGGUUCCGGAGCGGUCAAACGGGGCAGACUGUAAAUCUGCUGGCUAUGCCUUCAGAGGUUCGAAUCCUCUCCUGCCCACCA
rnacentral:tRNA from 1 species